rnacentral:snRNA from 1 species
ACACUUACCUGGCAGGGGAGAUACCAUGAUCACAAAGGUGGUUUUCCCAGGGCAAAGCUUAUCCAUUGCACUCCGGAUAUGCUAUUGCCUGCGAUUUCCCCAAAUGUGGGAAACUUGACUGCAUAAUUUGUGGUAGUGGGGGACUGCGUUCUCACUCUCCCCUG